CUUUCUUUUCUCUCUUUUACUUUGUCUGAUUUUUUUCCAAUCUGAGAUAAAGCUUUCAUCUGAGGAGUGGGAUCGGAAAGAAGGAGAAGAAGAGA
rnacentral:ribozyme from 13 species